AUGGCGGCUUCCGCCUCCGCCGCCCCCCAGUGGGCUCUCUCUGGUUCCCAGCAGCUUCGCAGCAUGUUUUACGCUCUGAGUCCCAAUGAAAGCGCCUUCCACCGCGUCGAGGAGGUGCCUGAUUACAUAAACAAGGCAACUCCUUUGUUCAUUACCCUGAUUUUUCUGGAGUUUGUUGUUAACUGGGCUCAGAAGAGACAUUCACCAGCUCGGGUCAAUGAUAGCAUAACAUGUCUAUCUGCAGGUGUCCUUUCUCGACUUCCCGACGCUUUGUCCAGAAGUGUUGAAUUGACAACGUAUAUCUAUGUGUGGGAAAGCUAUAGACUUUUGGAGCUGCCAUGGGACUCACCAUGGACAUGGUAUUUGACAUUUCUUGGAGUAGAUUUCGGAUACUACUGGUUCCACCGCAUGGCCCAUGAGAUUAAUCUAUUGUGGGCAGCACACCAAACUCAUCAUAGUUCUGAAGAUUAUAAUUUAUUCACGGCAUUAAGGCAGUCUUUGUUGCAGAAGUACACAUCUUGGAUAUUCUACUUGCCUAUGGCUCUCUUUAUUCCUCCAUCAGCAUAUGCCGUUCAUCUCCAGUUUAAUCUCCUUUACCAGUUCUGGAUCCACACAGAGGUUAUUAAGAACCUUGGUCCUUUGGAGUUCCUCCUUAACACUCCCAGUCACCACAGAGUACACCAUGGUAGAAAUCCAUAUUGCAUUGAUAAAAAUUAUGGUGGUACCUUGAUUAUUUGGGACAGAAUUUUUGGAACGUUUGCUGCAGAAAAUGAUAAAGUUGUGUAUGGCUUAACACACCCAAUAAACAGCUUUGAAACCUUCAAAAUCCAAUUUCAUCAUUGUAUUUAUAUAUGGAAAACAUUGUGGAGUACAUCUGGAUUCUGCAAUAAGGUUUCUGUUAUAUUCAAGGGGCCAGGAUGGGAGCCAGGCAAACCAAGACUUGGCCUUCUGGAGGACAUACCAAAGAUCACUGGAAAAGAGGUUCCCUUCAACCCCAAAUUGCCAGUCUACCUUCAAGUCUAUACAGUGGUUCAUUUUGGCUUAAUGCUGGGAUUUUAUAUUGAUUUAUUCGCUGAUAAAUCUACGUUAUCACAGGUAACUCUCCUCCUGAGAGUUGGCUACAUUAUCCUGACACUGACCUCCAUUGGUUUCCUCAUAGAGCAAAGACCUGAAGUGGCUUUCAUGGAAUCUUCCCGCUGUUCUACUUUUCUUGCUCUGCACAAACUUGGUUACUUGAAAACCUAUGUUACCCUUCUGUCAAGUAUAUAUGAGGUGUUGUUUUCUCUCUGCAUCGCUUUCUGGGGAGUACAAAUGAUAAAGCAACUGACCUCAAGCAAAAUGGCACCUAAAAGAAAUCUACCUUUCUCUUUCCUUCAUCCAUGGAUGGACUUCUAUUUUGCAUUGACAUCUUGACAUAAGUAGGAGAGCCUCAGUUCUUGUUCUGUUGUCUCCAGAAAUGGACCAUGUUGCAAGACAAAAAGAGUGCAGAUUGUGAACCCUUUGGGGACAAGGAGCCUAUCCAUCUAUCUAUCCAUCUAUAUCUAUGUACACUGCUUUGGGAGGAUCAUAGUACUGUACUGAAAAAGCCAAGUAGUUGAGUGAUCAAACAGAUGUUCCUGGAAGCUCAUAAGAUGGCCAUUCUGUACGAUUUAUCCCCAGCACUUGGUGAAUACUGCUUCUGACAUAAUAUAGAAGGACUAUAAAAGAAGAUACUGAAAUGUGUGACAUUUUGAAGAUGUUCCUUUCUACUUUUUUCUCUUUUAUGCAGUCAAUUGUGUACAUUAACUCAUAAUAGUAAAAGUAAUGCCUCUGAAAUUGUUUAUCUUGACUAUUUUAAUAUACUUAAUUUCUUCUUAUAAUAUGUAUCUAAUCCUUUUUAAAGGCAUAAAAGCUAGUAGUCAUCACUGCAUCUCGUGGCAAUAAAUUCCACAAGUUAAUCGCACAUUGUCUGAAAAAGUACUUGCUUUUGCCUUGGAAACAAUGCAACUAAGCAGAUCUAUGGGCAGAUGUUCUCUCACCUUCUAAAUAUAAGUGUACAAACCUUUAGGGACUUUUAAUACCAAAAGAACUCAACUCACCAUUGCCUAAUUUCAUAGUUGUGAACUCCAGUUCUCAAGAAAAUUGCACAUUACUGUGCUAGCUGGCGUGUUACAGCUCAUACUUACCCCUGCUAACUUGGCAAAGAGGCACCUUUUAACAUGGUGAAUCUCUUUUUUUAGCAGGGGAGUAUAACUGGACCUAUCCACCCCCAGCACAGUACUUAGGAACAUAGGAAACUGCCAUAUACUGAGUCAGAUCAUUGGUCUAUCUAGCUCAGUAUUGUCUUCACAGACUGGCAGCGGCUUCUCCAAGGUUGCAGGCAGGUAUCUCUCUCAGCCCUAUCUUGGAGAAGCCAGGGAGGGAACUUGAAACCUUCUGCUCUUCCCAGAGCGGCUUCAUCCCCUGAGGGGAAUAUCUUGCAGUGCUCACACAUCAAGUCUCCCAUUCAGAUGCAACCAGGGCAGACCCUGCUUAGCAAUGGGGACAAGUCAUGCUUGCUACCACAAGACCAACUCUCCUCUCCUCUCACUUCCACUGGCUGUUGCUGGUGUCUAUCUCUCUUUAGAUUGUGAGCCCUUUGCAGACAGGGAUCCAUUGUAUUUAUGUUGUUUAUUUGUUGUUUCUCUGUGUAAACCGCCAUGAGCCAUUUUUGGAAGCGCGGUAUAGAAAUUGAAUGAAUGAAUGAAUAAAUAAUAGUCAAAACUCUAA